rnacentral:rRNA from 1 species
GGUUAAGCUACUAAGAGCACACGGUGGAUGCCUAGGCGCUAGGAGCCGAUGAAGGACGUGGCGAACAACGAUAAAGCCUCGGGGAGCUGUAAGCAAGCUGUGAUCCGGGGAUGUCCGAAUGGGGAAACCUAACUGGAUUCAUCUCCAGUUACUCACACCUGAAUACAUAGGGUGUGCAGAGGCAGACGAGGGGAACUGAAACAUCUAAGUACCCUCAGGAAAAGAAAACAAGAGUGAUUCCGUCAGUAGCGGCGAGCGAACGCGGAACAGCCCAAACCAAGAAGCUUGCUUCUUGGGGUUGUGGGACGUCUCUUUGGAGUUACAAAGGAAUGAGGUAGGCGAAGAGGUCUGGAAAGGCCCGCAAGACAAGGUGAAAGCCCUGUAGCUUAAAUCUCAUUCUCUCCGAGACGGAUCCCGAGUAGUGCGGGGCACGUGAAACCCCGUAUGAAUCUGCCAGGACCAUCUGGUAAGGCUAAAUACUCCCUAGCGACCGAUAGUGAAGCAGUACCGUGAGGGAAAGGUGAAAAGGACCCCGGAAGGGGAGUGAAAUAGAACCUGAAACCGUGUGCUUACAAAAAGUCAGAGCCCUAUGAAUGGGUGAUGGCGUGCCUUUUGUAGAAUGAACCGGCGAGUUACGUUCCCGUGCAAGGUUAAGGUGAAAAGCCGGAGCCGCAGCGAAAGCGAGUCUGAAUAGGGCGACUGAGUACGUGGACGUAGACCCGAAACCAGGUGAUCUACCCCUGUCCAGGGUGAAGGUACGGUAACACGUACUGGAGGCCCGAACCCACGCACGUUGAAAAGUGCGGGGAUGAGGUGGGGGUAGCGGAGAAAUUCCAAUCGAACCUGGAGAUAGCUGGUUCUCCCCGAAAUAGCUUUAGGGCUAGCCUCGGAAGUUGAGUCGUGGAGGUAGAGCACUGAUUGGAUGCGGGGCCCGCAAGGGUUACCAAGUUCAGUCAAACUCCGAAUGCCACAGACUUUAUUCCGGGAGUCAGACAGUGAGUGCUAAGAUCCAUUGUCGAAAGGGAAACAGCCCAGACCAUCAGCUAAGGUCCCCAAGUGUGUGUUAAGUGGGAAAGGAUGUGAAGUUGCACAGACAACCAGGAUGUUGGCUUAGAAGCAGCCACCAUUGAAAGAGUGCGUAAUAGCUCACUGGUCGAGUGACUUUGCGCCGAAAAUGUAACGGGGCUAAACACACCACCGAAGCUAUGGCUUGAUACUUUGUAUCAGGGGUAGGGGAGCGUUGAAUGAAGAUUGAAGGUGUACCGCAAGGAGCGCUGGACCUCAUUCAAGUGAGAAUGCCGGUAUGAGUAACGAAAAGAUCAGUGAGAAUCUGAUCCGCCGAAAACCCAAGGAUUCCUGAGGAAGGCUCGUCCUCUCAGGGUAAGUCGGGACCUAAGGCGAGGCCGAAAGGCGUAGUCGACGGACAACAGGUUGAAAUUCCUGUACCACCGAAAGCCGUUAUGAGCAAUGGGAUGACGCAGGAGGAUAGUGACGCGGACUGAUGGAUGUCCGUUCAAGCAGUGAGGCUGGUAUGUAGGCAAAUCCGCAUAUCACAAGGCCAGGCUGUGAUGAGGAGCGAAAAUUGUAGUAGCGAAGGUCAUGAUUUCACACUGCCAAGAAAAGUCUCUAGCCAGGAAGCAGGUGCCCGUACCGUAAACCGACACAGGUGGGUGAGAAGAGAAUUCUAAGGCGCGCGGAAGAACUCUCGUUAAGGAACUCGGCAAAAUGACCCCGUAACUUCGGGAGAAGGGGUGCCCCGGUAGUGUGAAUAGCACGAGGGGGCCGCAGUGAAAAGGCCCAAGCGACUGUUUAGCAAAAACACAGGUCUGUGCGAAGCCGCAAGGCGAAGUAUACGGGCUGACGCCUGCCCGGUGCUGGAAGGUUAAGGGGAGUGGUUAGCGCAAGCGAAGCUAUGAACCGAAGCCCCAGUAAACGGCGGCCGUAACUAUAACGGUCCUAAGGUAGCGAAAUUCCUUGUCAGGUAAAUUCUGACCCGCACGAAUGGCGUAACGAUUUGGGCGCUGUCUCAACGAGAGAUCCGGUGAAAUUUUAAUACCUGUGAAGAUGCAGGUUACCCGCGACAAGACGGAAAGACCCCAUGGAGCUUUACUGCAACUUGAUAUUGAACUGGGGUGCGAUUUGUACAGGAUAGGUGGGAGCCGUAGAAACCGGAGCGCAAGCUUCGGUUGAGGCGCCGUUGGGAUACCACCCUGAUCGCAUUUGAGUUCUAACCUCGUACCGUGAUCCGGUACAGGGACCGUGUCAGGUGGGCAGUUUGACUGGGGCGGUCGCCUCCUAAAGUGUAACGGAGGCGCCCUAAGGUUCCCUCAGAAUGGUUGGAAAUCAUUCGAAGAGUGUAAAGGCAUAAGGGAGCUUGACUGCGAGACAGACACGUCGAGCAGGGACGAAAGUCGGGCUUAGUGAUCCGGUGGUACCGCAUGGAAGGGCCAUCGCUCAACGGAUAAAAGCUACCCUGGGGAUAACAGGCUUAUCUCCCCCAAGAGUCCACAUCGACGGGGAGGUUUGGCACCUCGAUGUCGGCUCAUCGCAUCCUGGGGCUGAAGUAGGUCCCAAGGGUUGGGCUGUUCGCCCAUUAAAGCGGUACGCGAGCUGGGUUCAGAACGUCGUGAGACAGUUCGGUCCCUAUCUGUCGUGGGCGUAGGAAAUUUGAGAGGAGCUGUCCUUAGUACGAGAGGACCGGGAUGGACGCACCGCUGGUGUACCAGUUGUUCCGCCAGGAGCAUCGCUGGGUAGCUACGUGCGGAAGGGAUAAGCGCUGAAAGCAUCUAAGCGUGAAGCCCCCCUCAAGAUGAGAUUUCCCAGUAUGUAAGACCCCUUGUAGACGACGAGGUUGAUAGGUUGGGGGUGGAAGUGCCGCAAGGCAUGGAGCUGACCAAUACUAAUCGGUCGAGGGCUUAUCCAA